GACGGAGGAUGCAAGCGUUGUCCGGAAUGAUUGGGCGUAAAGCGUUCGCAGGUGGCUAUUCAAGUCUGCUGUCAAAGACCGCGGCUUAACCCGAGAGAGGCAGUGGAAACUGAAUUGCUGGAGUGCAGGUGGGGUAGAGGGAAUUCCCAGUGUAGCGGUGAAAUGCGUAGAGAUUGGGAAGAAGACCAGUGGGGAAAGCGGGCUGCUGGGCUGCAACUGACGCUGAGGGACGAAAGCUAGGGGAGCAAACCGG
rnacentral:rRNA from 1 species